rnacentral:rRNA from 1 species
AGCGAACGCUGGCGGCAGGCCUAAUACAUGCAAGUCGAGCGGGUCCUUCGGGAUUAGCGGCGGACGGGUGAGUAACGCGUGGAACGUGCCCUUUGGUACGGAACAACUGAGGGAAACUUCAGCUAAUACCGUAUGUGCCCUUCGGGGAAAGAUUAUCGCCAUUGGAGCGGCCCGCGUUGGAUUAGGUAGUUGGUGAGGUAAAGGCUCACCAAGCCUACGAUCCAUAGCUGGUCUGAGAGGAUGACCCAGCCACACUGGGACUGAGACACGGCCCAGACUCCUACGGGAGGCAGCAGUAGGGAAUCUUGCGCAAUGGGCGAAAGCCUGACGCAGCCAUGCCGCGUGAAUGAUGAAGGUCUUAGGAUUGUAAAAUUCUUUCACCGGGGACGAUAAUGACGGUACCCGGAGAAGAAGCCCCGGCUAACUUCGUGCCAGCAGCCGCGGUAAU